GACGAACGCUGGCGGCGUGCUUAACACAUGCAAGUCGAACGGAAAGGCCCCUUUGGGGGUACUCGAGUGGCGAACGGGUGAGUAACACGUGAGUAACCUGCCCUUGACUUCGGGAUAACUUCAGGAAACUGGGGCUAAUACCGGAUAGGAAUCCUUGCUGCAUGGUGGGGGUUGGAAAGCUUCGGCGGUUUUGGAUGGACUCGCGGCUUAUCAGCUUGUUGGUGGGGUAGUGGCUUACCAAGGCUUUGACGGGUAGCCGGCCUGAGGGGGCGACCGGCCACAUUGGGACUGAGAUACGGCCCAGACUCCUACGGGAGGCAGCAGUGGGGAAUAUUGAACAAUGGGCGGAAGCCUGAUGCAGCAACGCCGCGUGCGGGAUGACGGCCUUCGGGUUGUAAACCGCUUUCAGCAGGGGCGAAGCUUGUGGUGACGGUACCUGCAGAAGAAGCACCGGCUAACUACGUG
rnacentral:rRNA from 1 species